GACGAACGCUGGCGGCGUGCCUAAUACAUGCAAGUCGAGCGAUGAAGCUUGGUGCUUGCACCAAUUUGAAGAGCAGCGAACGGGUGAGUAACGCGUGGGGAAUCUGCCUUUGAGCGGGGGACAACAUUUGGAAACGAAUGCUAAUACCGCAUAACAACUUUAAACAUAAGUUUUAAGUUUGAAAGAUGCAAUUGCAUCACUCAAAGAUGAUCCCGCGUUGUAUUAGCUAGUUGGUGAGGUAAAGGCUCCCCAAGGCGAUGAUACAUAGCCGACCUGAGAGGGUGAUCGGCCACAUUGGGACUGGGGCACGGCCCAAACUCCUACGGGAGGCAGCAGAAGGGAAUCUUCGGCGAUGGACGAAAGUCUGACCGAGCAACGCCGCGGGAGUGAAGAAGGUUUUCGGAUCGUAAAACUCUGUUGGUAGAGAAGAACGUUGGUGAGAGUGGAAAGCUCAUCAAGUGACGGUAACUACCCAGAAAGGGACGGCUAACUACGUG
rnacentral:rRNA from 1 species